CAGAAACUACAAAGGAAGUUGACGGGGGCCCGCACAAGCGGAGGAGCAUGUGGUUAAUCGAUGAUACGCGAGGAACCUUACCUGGGCUCGAACGUAAGAUGACUGUAGGUGAAAGCUUACAUCUCUUCGGAGCAUUUUACGAGGUGCUGCAUGGUUGUCGUCAGCUCGUGCCGUGAGGUGUCGGGUUAAGUCCCAUAACGAGCGCAACCCUACCUUUAGUUGCCAUCAGGUAAUGCUGGGGACUCUAAAGGAACUGCCUACGCAAGUAGUGAGGAAGGCGGGGAUGACGUCUAAAUCAGCACGGCCCUUACGUCCAGGGCUACACACGUGCUACAAUGGCCGAUACAGAGGGCAGCUACCUGGUGACAGGAUGCAAAUCUCCAAAGUCGGUCUCAGUUCGGAUCGGAGUCUGCAACCCGACUCCGUGAAGUUUGGAUUCGCUAGUAAUCGCGCAUCAGCCAUGGCGCGGUGAGUACGUUCCCGGGCCUU
rnacentral:rRNA from 1 species